rnacentral:rRNA from 1 species
CCUACGGGUGGCAGCAGUGAGGAAUAUUGGUCAAUGGGCGAGAGCCUGAACCAGCCAAGUCGCGUGAGGGAGUACUGCCCUAUGGGUUGUAAACCUCUUUUGUCGGGGAGCAAAAGCCGGACGUGUCCGGCUGUGAGAGUACCCGAAGAAAAAGCAUCGGCUAACUCCGUGCCAGCAGCCGCGGUAAUACGGAGGAUGCGAGCGUUAUCCGGAUUUAUUGGGUUUAAAGGGUGCGCAGGCGGAUUUUUAAGUCAGCGGUAAAAUCGUGGGGCUCAACCCCAUCCAGCCGUUGAAACUGGGGAUCUAGAGUGUGGGAGAGGUAUGCGGAAUGCGUGGUGUAGCGGUGAAAUGCAUAGAUAUCACGCAGAACCCCGAUUGCGAAGGCAGCAUACCGGUGCACAACUGACGCUCAGGCACGAAAGCGUGGGUAUCGAACAGGAUUAGAUACCCGUGUAGUC